GGACUACCGGGGUAUCUAAUCCUGUUUGAUCCCCACGCUUUCGUGCCUCAGCGUCAAUAAUACCAUAGUAAGCUGCCUUCGCAAUUGGUGUUCUGUGACAUAUCUAUGCAUUUCACCGCUACUUGUCACAUUCCGCCUACCUCUAGUAUAUUCAAGCCUAUCAGUAUCAAGGGCACUGCGAUAGUUAAGCUACCGUCUUUCACCCCUGACUUAAUAGGCCGCCUACGCACCCUUUAAACCCAAUAAAUCCGGAUAACGCUUGGAUCCUCCGUAUUACCGCGGCUGCUGGCAC
rnacentral:rRNA from 2 species